rnacentral:lncRNA from 1 species
UAUAUUAAUAUAUUUCAGUCUUUCAGUUGGAACAUUGUUUUUCAGCGGGGUUUGCAGGAUUAGAAAGUGGAUAAUUAUGCUUCACUAUUGACAUCUUUGCAUGAAGUGCACAUCAGGGUAGGCAAGGGUAAUUAUAACAGGUGAAGGUUGACACAAGAUGGUAUCUUCUCAGUCGGCAUGUAUUUUAAAUCCUUAUUGGGUCCCAUGGAGAGUUCAAUCUCUUAGAAGAUGAUAUGGAAAUGUAAAACUGCCUCCAAAGAUGGCAUUUUUAUUAUUUGUUAGAGGACAAGUGUUAACUGCGGAUAAUUUCUGAACAAGGGAUUUUUAUGUUACAGAGUGGUGUUAUAUCUGUACGAAGGAUGGGAUGACGAGUAACCAUCACAUUUGCUGUGAAACGAUAUUCCGACG